rnacentral:rRNA from 1 species
AAAUUGAAGAGUUUGAUCAUGGCUCAGAUUGAACGCUGGCGGCAGGCCUAACACAUGCAAGUCGAACGGUAACAGGAAACAGCUUGCUGUUUCGCUGACGAGUGGCGGACGGGUGAGUAAUGUCUGGGAAACUGCCUGAUGGAGGGGGAUAACUACUGGAAACGGUAGCUAAUACCGCAUAACGUCNNNNNNNNNNAGCUAAUACCGCAUAACGUCGCAAGACCAAAGAGGGGGACCUUCGGGCCUCUUGCCAUCGGAUGUGCCCAGAUGGGAUUAGCUAGUAGGUGGGGUAACGGCUCACCUAGGCGACGAUCCCUAGCUGGUCUGAGAGGAUGACCAGCCACACUGGAACUGAGACACGGUCCAGACUCCUACGGGAGGCAGCAGUGGGGAAUAUUGCACAAUGGGCGCAAGCCUGAUGCAGCCAUGCCGCGUGUAUGAAGAAGGCCUUCGGGUUGUAAAGUACUUUCAGCGGGGAGGAAGGGAGUAAAGUUAAUACCUUUGCUCAUUGACGUUACCCGCAGAAGAAGCACCGGCUAACUCCGUGCCAGCAGCCGCGGUAAUACGGAGGGUGCAAGCGUUAAUCGGAAUUACUGGGCGUAAAGCGCACGCAGGCGGUUUGUUAAGUCAGAUGUGAAAUCCCCGGGCUCAACCUGGGAACUGCAUCUGAUACUGGCAAGCUUGAGUCUCGUAGAGGGGGGUAGAAUUCCAGGUGUAGCGGUGAAAUGCGUAGAGAUCUGGAGGAAUACCGGUGGCGAAGGCGGCCCCCUGGACGAAGACUGACGCUCAGGUGCGAAAGCGUGGGGAGCAAACAGGAUUAGAUACCCUGGUAGUCCACGCCGUAAACGAUGUCGACUUGGAGGUUGUGCCCUUGAGGCGUGGCUUCCGGAGCUAACGCGUUAAGUCGACCGCCUGGGGAGUACGGCCGCAAGGUUAAAACUCAAAUGAAUUGACGGGGGCCCGCACAAGCGGUGGAGCAUGUGGUUUAAUUCGAUGCAACGCGAAGAACCUUACCUGGUCUUGACAUCCACGGAAGUUUUCAGAGAUGAGAAUGUGCCUUCGGGAACCGUGAGACAGGUGCUGCAUGGCUGUCGUCAGCUCGUGUUGUGAAAUGUUGGGUUAAGUCCCGCAACGAGCGCAACCCUUAUCCUUUGUUGCCAGCGGUCCGGCCGGGAACUCAAAGGAGACUGCCAGUGAUAAACUGGAGGAAGGUGGGGAUGACGUCAAGUCAUCAUGGCCCUUACGACCAGGGCUACACACGUGCUACAAUGGCGCAUACAAAGAGAAGCGACCUCGCGAGAGCAAGCGGACCUCAUAAAGUGCGUCGUAGUCCGGAUUGGAGUCUGCAACUCGACUCCAUGAAGUCGGAAUCGCUAGUAAUCGUGGAUCAGAAUGCCACGGUGAAUACGUUCCCGGGCCUUGUACACACCGCCCGUCACACCAUGGGAGUGGGUUGCAAAAGAAGUAGGUAGCUUAACCUUCGGGAGGGCGCUUACCACUUUGUGAUUCAUGACUGGGGUGAAGUCGUAACAAGGUAACCGUAGGGGAACCUGCGGUUGGAUCACCUCCUUACCUUAAAGAAGC